rnacentral:rRNA from 1 species
GGGAGACUGCCGGUUAACCGGAGGAAGGUGGGGGAUGACGUCAAGUCAUCAUGGCCCUUACGCCUAGGGCUACACACGUACUACAAUGGUGGGUACAAAGGGCAGCAAAACCGCGAGGUCGAGCGAAAUCCUCAAAAAAACCCAUCAUAGUCCGGAUUGCAGUCUGCAACUCGACUGCAUGAAGUUGGAAUCGCUAGUAAUCCCGGAUCAGCAUCGCCGGGGUCGAAUACGUUCCCGGGCCUU